rnacentral:rRNA from 1 species
AACGAACGCUGGCGGCAUGCCUAACACAUGCAAGUCGAACGAAGUCUUCGGACUUAGUGGCGCACGGGUGCGUAACGCGCGGGAAUCUGCCCUUGGGUACGGAAUAACUCAGAGAAAUUUGUGCUAAUACCGUAUAAUGUCUUCGGACCAAAGAUUUAUCGCCCAAGGAUGAGCCCGCGUAAGAUUAGCUAGUUGGUGAG